GUGGAAACUACAAAUUUAGGGGUCCA
rnacentral:piRNA from 1 species